rnacentral:misc_RNA from 1 species
UCUCCGUUGGUGAACCAGCGGAGGGAUCAUUACUGAGUUUACGCUCUAUAACCCUUUGUGAACAUACCUAUAACUGUUGCUUCGGCGGGUAGGGUCUCCGCGACCCUCCCGGCCUCCCGCCUCCGGGCGGGUCGGCGCCCGCCGGAGGCCAUUAAACACUGCAUCAUUGCGUCGGAGUUAAAGUAAAUUAAACAAAACUUUCAACAACGGAUCUCUUGGUUCCAGCAUCGAUGAAGAACGCAGC